GACGAACGCUGGCGGUGUGCUUAACACAUGCAAGUCGAACGGAAAGGCCCUGCUUUUGUGGGGUGCUCGAGGGGCGAACGGGUGAGUAACACGUGAGUAACCUGCUCUAGACUUUGGGAUAACUUCAGGAAACUGGGGUUACGACCGGAUAGCAGCUCCUGCUGCAGGGUGGGGGUUGGAAAGUUUCGGCUGGUGGGGAUGGACGAGCGGCUUAUCAGCUUGUUGGUGGGGUAGUGGCUUACCCAGGCUUUGAAGGGUAGCCGGCCUGAGAGGGGGAACGGCCUCAUUGGGACUGCGAUACGGCGCAGACUCCUACGGGAGGCAGCAGUGGGGAAUAUUGCACAAUGAGCGGAAGCCUGAUGCAGCAACGCCGCGUGCGGGAUGACGGCCUUCGGGUUGUAAACCGCUUUCGCCUGUGACGACGCGUGAGUGACGGUAAUGGGUAAAGAAGCACCGGCUAACUACGUG
rnacentral:rRNA from 1 species